rnacentral:rRNA from 1 species
CCUACGGGAGGCUGCAGUGGGGAAUAUUGGACAAUGGGCGAAAGCCUGAUCCAGCCAUGCCGCGUGUGUGAAGAAGGCCUUCGGGUUGUAAAGCACUUUCAGUGGGGAAGAAAGCCUUGGGGCUAAUACCCUCGAGGAAGGACAUCACCCACAGAAGAAGCACCGGCUAACUCCGUGCCAGCGGCCGCGGUAAUACGGAGGGUGCGAGCGUUAAUCGGAAUUACUGGGCGUAAAGCGCGCGUAGGCGGUCUGAUAAGCCGGUUGUGAAAGCCCCGGGCUCAACCUGGGAACGGCAUCCGGAACUGUCAGGCUAGAGUGCAGGAGAGGAAGGUAGAAUUCCCGGUGUAGCGGUGAAAUGCGUAGAGAUCGGGAGGAAUACCAGUGGCGAAGGCGGCCUUCUGGACUGACACUGACGCUGAGGUGCGAAAGCGUGGGUAGCAAACAGGAUUAGAUACCCUGGUAGUC